GCGGAGACGAAAGUUUCCGUUCACUCCUCACACCACACUCCGCCCGAGAUCAAAUGCGGGCGGUU
rnacentral:sRNA from 1 species